GACGAACGCUGGCGGCGUGCCUAAUACAUGCAAGUUGAGCGCUGAAGGUUGGUACUUGUACCCACUGGAUGAGCAGCGCAAGGGUGAGUAAAGCGUGGGGAAUCUGUCUUUGAGCGGGGGACAACAUUUGGAAACGCAUGCUAAUACCGCAUAUAAACUUUAAUCACAAGUUUUAAGUUUGAAAGAUGCAAUUGCAUCACUCUAAGCUGAUCCCGCGUUGUAUUAGCUAGUUGGUGGGGUAAAGGCUCACCAAGGCGAUGAUACAUAGCCGACCUGAGAGGGUGAUCGGCCACAUUGGGACUGAGACACGGCCCAAACUCCUACGGGAGGCAGCAGUAGGGAAUCUUCGGCAAUGGACGAAAGUCUGACCGAGCAACGCCGCGUGAGUGAAGAAGGUUUUCGGAUCGUAAAACUCUGUUGGUAGAGAAGAACGGUGGUGAGGGUGGAAAGCUCAUCAAGUGACGGUAACUACCCAGAAAGGGACGGCUAACUACGUG
rnacentral:rRNA from 1 species